UCGAAAGGAACGCUAAUACCGCAUACGUCCUACGGGAGAAAGCAGGGGACCUUCGGGCCUUGCGCUAUCAGAUGAGCCUAGGUCGGAUUAGCUAGUUGGUGAGGUAAUGGCUCACCAAGGCGACGAUCCGUAACUGGUCUGAGAGGAUGAUCAGUCACACUGGAACUGAGACACGGUCCAGACUCCUACGGGAGGCAGCAGUGGGGAAUAUUGGACAAUGGGCGAAAGCCUGAUCCAGCCAUGCCGCGUGUGUGAAGAAGGUCUUCGGAUUGUAAAGCACUUUAAGUUGGGAGGAAGGGUUGUAGAUUAAUACUCUGCAAUUUUGACGUUACCGACAGAAUAAGCACCGGCUAACUCUGUGCCAGCAGCCGCGGUAAUACAGAGGGUGCAAGCGUUAAUCGGAAUUACUGGGCGUAAAGCGCGCGUAGGUGGUUUGUUAAGUUGGAUGUGAAAUCCCCGGGCUCAACCUGGGAACUGCAUCCAAAACUGGCAAGCUAGAGUAUGGUAGAGGGUGGUGGAAUUUCCUGUGUAGCGGUGAAAUGCGUAGAUAUAGGAAGGAACACCAGUGGCGAAGGCGACCACCUGGACUGAUACUGACACUGAGGUGCGAAAGCGU
rnacentral:rRNA from 1 species